UUAUGGCGGCCCACACCAUCACCAUGGCCGGUGCUUGAGUUAUGUUGUCCCACCGAAUGUGCACAUUUUCAGCUGUCCUCUUUUGCAAGUAAACACGAUAAUUUUGUUUGUUUACAAACUGCUGGGGAACGAAGAUUCUCCCAUCGGUGAAAAAAAUUCGGUAGUUCACCACUUUCGGCCAAGCGAAGCAACUCUUUAGCUCUUUUGAGUCUAUUUUCUUUCUGUUGCGGUGUAAGUUCCUGCACUUGUUUGAAUUUUAAUGUCGGGCUACACUACCAGUAUCACGGUAACGAGCGAUGGUACGAGACACAAAAGAUUUGUUCACACUUGUGGUUUUCCAGCCAAAUAUAAAGAAAUCACACUAUGACGCUUGAAUUCCACCACGAAUAACUGUUUUUCUGGAAAAUUCUCACCAAAAUGCUUUUGUAGGCUUGUAAGCAAUAUAAUGAGCUGUCACUGGAAUAACUUUAACAGCUGUUGGACGAGUGACUUAGAAAUGACAGCAGUCUGAAGUGGGUUGCAGUU